GGUGGCUCAAUGGUAGAGCACUUGCCUUGAAAGCAUGAGUCCCUGGGUUCAAUUCCUCAGCACCA
rnacentral:tRNA from 1 species